rnacentral:rRNA from 1 species
UCCGGUUGAUCCUGCGGAGGCGACCGCUUUUGGAGUACGAUUAAGCCAUGCGAGUCGAGAGCCUUAGGGGCUCGGCAUACUGCUCAGUAACACGUGGAUAACCUGCCCUAUUGUCUGGAAUAACCUCGGGAAACUGAGAACAAGGCCGGAUAGCCCACAAUGCCUGGAACGGUUUGUGGGUGAAGAUAGGAUGGGUCUGCGGCGUAUCAGGUUGUACGGGGUGUAAUGGACCUCCUAGCCAUCGACGCGUACGGGUGUUGGGAGACAUAGCCCGGAGAUGGAUUCCUGAGACACGAAUCCAGACCCUACGGGGUGCAGCAGGCGCGAAAACUUCACACUGCAGGAAAACUGUGAUGAGGGAACUCCAAGUGCUAUCCCUAUGUGGUAGCUUUUCUAGACUAUAAAUCGGUCAUGGAAAUCAAGGGCUGGGAAAGACCGGUGCCAGCCGCCGAGGUAAUAACCGGCAGCUCAAGUGGUCAUCGCUUUUAUUGAGGCCUAAAACGUCCGUCGCCUGUUAGGUAAAUCUGUGGGUAAAUCAACCCGGUUAACUGGUCAAAUUCUGAAGAGACUGCCAGACUAGGGACCAGGAGAAGUGUGAGGUACUCCAAAGUAAGGGUA